UAUUAUGUGUGCUAUGGCGGUUUGAGCACUGGACUAGGAUUCUGGAGACCAGGGUUCAAAUCCCAGCUCAAUCA